AAGAGAGAUGAGAGUAACGGAAAAAAAGGAGAUAACAACUCUGGGGAAGAAUUGUUUGCACUCUGCCACACACACACACCACACACACACACAUCAUGUCAAGAGCAAAUGCUCCCAUUCUUUCUGCUCUUUGUCCUAAUGCAGAACUGAGCGCGAUGAGGGUAAAUCCGGAUGUGGACUCCUUUCCCACCAUCAGCAGAAGAACCGAAGGAGAAGAAGCGCCCGACCAACAACCAGAACAGGGUGGAAGCUCUGAUACCACAGCAGCUGGAGGACAAAGACCACAGCAUGGACGCCUCAGUGACUCCCACAACGUCUGCAGCCAUCACGUUCUGGGCUCAUCAGAUGAACCAGCUACUACAAGCGCUGCACCAGCAGGAAAGGACUGUGUCUGAAGCUUCAGAGGCCGUGAAACUGUCAUACACGCGUGUGUGUCUGACACAGACACCUGCUUAUGACAAUCAGCAAAGGAAAACAAGGACAGAGCAACAGCAGAGUGAGAAGACGUGCUCUGACACAGACACUGGUUGAAACAACAGGAGAGGCUUCAGACGUGAUCGGCCCAAUAGAGCUGCAUUCGAGGAUCCAGUAAAGGUCUGUCAUCGAGGAACAACUGUCCCAUCUAAAGGCUUUACCCACUGGCGCUCACAUCAGACUGAUGGUUGGGGAAGGAGGAAGGUGACGGUUCCUUUUCACGUGACGUACAAGACGGUACCGCAAACACACACACACACACAUUUCCACGCACGCAAUGAAGAAACACGCUUACAGCUGAUACAGGCUCAAAUUCAUGUUCAUGCUUAUCUGCUCGCAAUGAAGAAUCGCUUUUUGCUCAAAAAAUCCCACAGAGUGAUUUGAAAAUGAUGACAAACAGCUAAAUGACAACUGCUGCAUGACUUUACAGUCUGAUGGGUUUAAACUAUUUCAGUUUAGAAAAAUUCAGUAAUAGAAUCCUCCAUGUUUCUAAAAAUAUUUGUGCACACUAUAGGUUUGUCUGGCCAGAACAAAAAAAACAAAACCAGACUAUAGAAGAAAAGAAUAAAACAGACUAUAGGAAGACUGAGACCGACUGAAACUGACUAUUAAUGACUAUUAAAGGGAAGACGACUAUUAGAGAGAAGUAAUAAUAAUUACUGUACGUACCAGACUAUUAAACUAUUAAAAACUUAUUCUUUCACUGUCUUGUGCACCAUCUGACAGCAAGACACCUUAACAUUCAUUUUUGCUUUCAAACUUAUGCCCAGUUAAAUUCUUAAGAAGAGAUCUCAUGUGUAGUUUAGGUAUUUGAUUGAUUUCCACUCCAGACGGAGUGCAGGUUACAUCUACAGACAUUCUAAAUAAUCCCUCUUUUGUUGCUGUUAACUUCAGCUCAGCUGUGCUCUUAUCAUUGGCUGCUGAGGGGGGGCUGUAACUGAGGCCCUCACACAGGCUGCAUCACAGCUUGUUUCCAUGUGAUACGACCUCCAGAGAUGCAUCUGACCUGUCCUGUACAGCACAUGUGUCUUCUGGUCCUGAUGAGAGUUCCACACGUCCCUCUGUGAAAACAUGAUGGAGACAGAUGACAGGACGUGGGUCCUUUCGUGAACAGAUGUCAACGGGGUGGAGACUGGUGAACGACUUCUGACCCUAUGUGACGUAUUCACCUACUUUGCAUACUUUUAGAAAACUUUUUUUAUUCUGCCGUCAUGUGCAGCAAACUGUGAACUUGAUACCCCCACAUUCUAAUGACACACUACAUGCUUUUGUUUUUAUUUUCAUUUUUCAGAGGACGCUCUGAGUUAACACUCAGCCUUACAGGAAGCCCUGCUUCCCUGAGGCUCACACACAGACAUGAUGUAGGUUUGAUCAGAGGAUGUGAACCAGUGGUCAUCACACCUAAAUCUGACCACAGACCAUGUAAACAACAACAGCCUCUGAAAGGAAGCCAUAGAUGGCGUUACUGCAGACACCACUAAGACGCUGCUGCGAAGGUCGCUGCCCGACAACCCCUCCCUCUCCUGAUCCUUGUUCCCUCUCCUCUUUUCAUCUCCUCAUCCUCGUUUCCUCGCCUCAUCCUAGUUUCCUCUCCUGAUCCUCGUUCCCUCUCCUGAUCCUCGUUUCCUCUCCAACUCUCUCUACCCUUUCCUUCCUCAUCUCCCUGUGCUUUAAACAUUUUCUACCUCACAGGAACGCAGACUCUGGCAGACGAAUGGUUCCACCUGUAGCCACGGAGUCUGGUUUGGGCCUGAGGGCAGCCGUGCCGCCCAAGCACUUUUUCCCCACGAUUCAGAUUUCCCAACAGGUAAAAACAGGCGACAGGACCACUACACCAUCCGACCAGGGGACUGGGCGAUCGUUAAGGAGUUCAGGAGGAAGCACUGGGACUCCAAAUGGUGGCGAGGCCCCUUCCAGGACCUUCUGACGACCCACACGGCUGAAAGAUCGCAGAGAGAGCGACUUGGAUCCUCUCCAUCUACUGCAGGAAGGUCCCGGAUCCAACAGCCGACCCUCCAUCUACAUUCCACGGAGAAAAUCACCACUAAAGAAAAGAAUUGAGAAGGACGACUCUCGCUGUGCUCACACACACAAAGGUGCGAGCCAAGCGCCGCCUGAAGGUGCGCCGAUGAAUCACACUAUCAGCCUUGAGUUGCCGACGCUGGACGACCUGUAGACUCUUCACAUCACGGGGAGUGACAGUGACUCAGACGACAUUGGGAGGAAACCUGGCGGUGAUAACGAAUCCCAAGUGUCUCUGUGAUCAGCUGAUCACAACCUGAAGAACUCCAACGAACUGUCAAUACUUCAACACACAGGUUGGAAACAAUCUAAUGCUACUGUUCAACAGGAAGAAGCAGAUUGUUGUGAUUGUAACCUUGUUUUGUUAAACUUCAUUUUAUGUUACUUGGAUUGUUGCCUUGAUCAUAUGAUGUUUCCAUGUAACUUUACACAAUACUUUUGAAUGAGAAAAUUUCACAUAAUUCACAACACUGAGUUUAAAUAUCCUGAAGUUGACUUGGUGUUUGAUUUGCUCACAAUCACUUUAUUCACUGCUACAAUUAACUUUUAUCCUUCAUCGACAGAUGAUAGAGGUUAUAAGACAACACAAGCAGCAAAUGCAUCAUCAUUUAUUUACUGUAUGCAUUUGACAUUUCACCUAGAUUGUUUAAUGGUUGUCUCUCCCUGAUAGACUCUCAACUCUAGCUCCCAAACCCAAGGUUGGGGAGUUGUGUCUCUGUCUGUUGAGACUUGGUGCUCCUUUUUCACAGAUAGUUGGACGUCAGCAAUGCAGGUGUGAGAAAGUAAAUAUCUUAACACAACAACAGAGGAGAUUAUUACAUAAACCACUGAUGCAGUAGGUGAGUUAAUGUAGCAAUAGGAAGUUAACAGUUCUGGUUAUAUAGUCUGAUAGCAGCAGGGAGGAAAAAUCUGUGUGGUCCGUUAUCCCUAUAAAUUCAAUCUGGUAUCCCAAAUCGUAUUAUAUCUUGUAGUAGAGUUUUUUUUUUGUUUUCUUUGACAUCUAUUCAAUUCUAUAAAAUCCAUAUGUAAAUAUUGGAACAGAUAUUCUGCUUUAGGGAAUGUUCUUGUUUGUCAAACAUUUGCAUUUUUUAGAAUAAUUUGUAAAUCCAUAAGAAGUAUAGUAUUUGUUUAUUAUCCGUACCAUCCCCCCGUUGAGACAUGGCAAGGCCAAUGGCUCAAUACUGCUGCUCCUUUAUAGAGGGAUGUUGGUAAGAUAGGCUUCCCCUCUUGUCAAAGAUAGUAACUUGCGGAUUAACGGUUUGUCCUUUAUGAGUCCAUUUAUUUUUUACACUUUUGAGAAUGCAGUCCAUCAAAUGGCUAUUUUUGCUGGUAGUUGUACUGCUUUUAACAAUAUAUUCAUUAAAUCACCUGCAUUGUA